CAGACAUAAUGAUUUAAUUACCUUGUUUUUUUGCUCAUUAACCAGUUAUUGUUGAGUUUGAAUAAAUCCAACCUGAUUAGCAGGGACGAGAAGGCUACCUCCGUAUUUCCUCAUUCAUGUUAUACCAUUUCUUUUCUUUGCCCGCUGAUCUUUAAAGAAAUUGGGCUUCUUUGUGGGGAAUGCUUCUAUUGCCUCUUGAACUCAGGAAUUCUGAAUUUGUGGCUCCUUUAAAUAUCCUUGUCCUGGCUUGCUGGAGGUUUGGCUCACUCAAGAUGCUAUUUUCUCUGCCUGUUUUGAUUAGCCCAUCUUAGUCUUGUGCAAUGAACAGCUGCACACUAGAAGAUAUACAAUAGAAGAUGCUCAACCCAUGUUUGCCCAAUAGGUGAAAAUCACUCUUUGGUUUAGAGGAAGGCUUGCUAAAGGAUCUUUGGAUCUUCUGUUCCCUUGGUUCAGGGGACCUCAAAGUUCCCAGCUACUAGCGCAUUUUUAACCUUCCACGAGGCGUCUUUCUCUACUAAAUGUUUCACUGUCCCACUGGGCAAGGGCUGAAAAAGAAGCAUGCAAGAAACUAAGGAGAGGGAGUUGAGGAGUAUUUUGACAUCAUCCUUUCUGAAUCAUUUUUCAGUCCUGGAGUCUGAGCAGGGUCUUGCAAACCCAGCAAACAUUUUGAAGAAUUAAUUUUUGUUCUAAAUCUCCAUCAAUUUCUACUCCUCAGGAACGCCCCUUUUCUUCAUCUGUCUAAUGGAACUUUACCCUUAAUUCAAAGACGUCCUGUCACGGCGCUCCAAUCUGUCCUUUUCUUUAGUUUUAUCUGAUUGAUUUUUUUUUCUUGUUUCAUCCCAAAAGGACGACUUGACUGGGUAGGUAGGUGACAGAGAUGCUGCUUUGGGCUCUAUAGGAGAAGAGAAUGAAACCGUGAGCACGGGAUGCAUGAACAUGCAAAGAAUGUUAAAGCAUUGAGAUGGUGCCUAAGCAGAAAGGUUGUCCACACUGCAACCACAAAAACAGAAGGGAGAGAAAAGAAAAAGUGGGAUUUGGGAGGACAGCAGUACAGUGUCUAGCAAACAGACACAUUGUACGUCCUUU
ensembl:lncRNA